AGCGAACGCUGGCGGCAGGCUUAACACAUGCAAGUCGAGCGGGCAUCCUUGUGGUGUCAGCGGCAGACGGGUGAGUAACGCGUGGGAACGUGCCCUUCGGUUCGGAAUAACUCAGGGAAACUUGAGCUAAUACCGGAUACGCGCGAGAGCAGAAAGGUUUAUCUGCCGAAGGAUCGGCCCGCGUCUGAUUAGCUAGUUGGUGAGGUUAUGGCUCACCAAGGCGACGAUCAGUAGCUGGUCUGAGAGGAUUAUCAGCCACACUGGGACUGAGACACGGCCCAGACUCCUACGGGAGGCAGCAGUGGGGAAUAUUGGACAAUGGGGGCAACCCUGAUCCAGCCAUGCCGCGUGAGUGAUGACGGCCUUAGGGUUGUAAAGCUCUUUUCUCCGGGACGAUAAUGACGGUACCGGAGGAAUAAGCCCCGGCUAACUUCGUG
rnacentral:rRNA from 1 species